rnacentral:tRNA from 1 species
GGGUCGUUAGCUCAGUUGGUAGAGCAGUUGACUUUUAAUCAAUUGGUCGCUGGUUCGAAUCCAGCACGACCCAC